rnacentral:tRNA from 1 species
GAGGGUAUAGCUCAGCUGCAGAGUGUGUGCUUAGCUCGCACAAGGUCCUGGGUUCAAUCCCGAUUACCUCC